UCCGGUUUGAAACCGGCAGUCCCGUUAGACAUGGUAACUAACGGCGAGGGUUGCGCUCGUUGCGGGACUUAACCCAACACCUCACGGCACGAGCUGACGACAGCCAUGCAGCACCUGUGCUGGCUCUCGCCUUGACGAGUCGUUCCCCUUUCGGAGUUCUACUUCCAGCAUGUCAAGCCUAGGUGAGGUUCUUCGCGUUGCAUCGGAUUAAACCACAUGCUCCACCGCUUGUGCGGGCCCCCGUCAAUUUCUUUGAGUUUUAGCCUUGCGGCCGUAGUCCCCAGGCGGGGCACUUAUCGCGUUUGCUUCGGCACCGGGGGGGUCGAUACCCCCGACACCUAGUGCCCAUCGUUUACGGCGUGGACUAC
rnacentral:misc_RNA from 1 species